AGCGUAGGCGGGAUGGCAAGUCAGAUGUGAAACCUGAGGGCUCAACCUUCAGACUGCAUUUGAAACUGCUGUUCUUGAGUGAAGUAGAGGUAAGCGGAAUUCCUGGUGUAGCGGUGAAAUGCGUAGAGAUCAGGAGGAACAUCGGUGGCGAAGGCGGCUUACUGGGCUUUUACUGACGCUGAGGCUCGAAAGCGUGGGGAGCAAACAGGAUUAGAUACCCCCGUA
rnacentral:rRNA from 1 species